GGGAAGCAGCAAAUCGGGGAACGCAAAUUGCGCCGGGGUCGGAAGGCAGGGCGGGGGGAGGGCACCAGGGAACAAAGAAUGUGCAGGGCGUGUGCACACGUUGAUGAGCUUUCCAAAAUUAUGUAUUAUUAUUUUUGGUGGCGCAUAAUUAAACAGCGCGAUGCUUUUUUCAGUUCGAGUGUAGUAAAAUUUUUUCUUGCUUGGGUUGUGAAAAGCGUGAUCGCGCAAAUGGGUGUGGCGAUUCUACUAACCCUGCCCCAACGCCACUCUUUCUCGCGAAAGAAUAUUAAUCUUCAGGGC
rnacentral:misc_RNA from 1 species